GCCGGGCAUGGUGGUGGGUGCCUGUAAUCCCAGCUACUCAGGAGGCUGAGGCAGGAGAAUUGCUUGAACCCAGGAGGCAGAGGUUGCAGUGAGCCAAGAUCAUGCCACUGUACCCCAGCCUGGGUAACAGAGUGAGACCAUGUCUCAA
rnacentral:SRP_RNA from 2 species